rnacentral:rRNA from 1 species
GUCUUUUUGAAUAAAUUAAAAGUCGGGCCUGCCCAAUGAUUAGUUUAAUGGCUGCGGUAUUUUGACCGUACAAAGGUAGCAUAAUCAAUAGUCUAUUAAUUGUAGACUGGAAUGAAGGGUUUGACGAAAAUCUAACUGUCUCUUUUUAAAUUAUUGAAUUUUAUUUUUAAGUAAAAAAGCUUAAAUGCUUUAAAAAGACGAGAAGACCCUAUAGAGUUUUAUAUUAAUAAAAAUUAAUUAUUAUAUGGAUUUUUAUUAAUAUUUUGUUGGGGUGACAGAAAAAUUUAAUUAACUUUUUUUUUUAUUUUUAUAUUGAUUUAUAUUUUUAUGAUCCUGAUUUAUGAUUAUAAGAUUAAAUUACCUUAGGGAUAACAGCGUUAUUUAUCUUGAGAGUUCAAAUCGAAAGAUGAGUUUGCGACCUCGAUGUUGGAUUAAGAUUUGAAGGAGGUGUAGGAGCUUCUUUUCUAGGUCUGUUCGACCUUUAAAAUUUUACGUGAUCUGAUUUCA